rnacentral:rRNA from 1 species
UACGGGGGGGAGCAAGCGUUGUUCGGAUUUACUGGGCGUAAAGGGCGCGUAGGCGGCCACCGCAAGUCGAUUGUGAAAUCUCCGGGCUUAACCCGGAAAGGUCAACCGAUACUGCGGGGCUAGAGUGCAGAAGGGGCAACUGGAAUUCUCGGUGUAGCGGUGAAAUGCGCAGAUAUCAGGAGGAACACCGGUGGCGAAGGCGGGUCUCUGGGCAACAACUGACGCUGAGGAGCGAAAGCGUGGGGAGCGAACAGG